ACACUCAGUGUUAGGUAAGAGCAUCCCUGAGGACUAGGGACCAGGGCAAAGCUCAACCUCAGAGUCAAAGACUGUGCGGCAAGCAGAAUCUUCUCUACGCAGCUUGCAAAUGGACAGAGAAUGCCUUUAGAAACAAAGAGAUCGCUAUCCACGUUUCAUCAUUCAUCAUCAAAUCCAUGGAGAAUGUCACCUCUAGUCUUCCUGCCAACAAAUGACUCCGGCUCAACUCAGCACGUGCAUACCUGGUGUCCUUGAGCGAUAAAGCUCCUGGGACUGGAGUUACAGAUGGCCAUAAAGCACCUACCAUGGGAAUCCCGGAAGGAAUUGGAUCUCAUGAUGGCAUGUGCAUACACACAUGUCAUCUGCAUACACACAUGUCAUCUGCAUACACACAUGUCAUCUGCAUACACACGUCAUCUGCAUACACAUCAGUGGCUCCAAGAUCCCUCCCAGACUCGAACCCCGACAUGAAAGCCACAGACCGGCCCCAACAAAUUGGCAUCCCACGCGGGGCCUGGGAAUGGCAGAGGACAUUUGGAAGAAACAUUGCUGGUUUGGAGCUCCAUGGAAGAAGAAAAGAAUUAAAGAAAAUUUGUACCGGAGAAGGUGUGGUACAGGUUAAGCUGGAACAGCGCUAAAUCCGCGUGCUGGAUUCACUUAGGUUCACCAGUUCCUUGAUAUCAGGAUCUAGGAACAUAACAGGCAGUUGGCUGCAGCCUCUAGAAGCUGCUUUUUAGGUGAGAGAGAUAAAAGGGUUUGGAUUUAAUAAUCAGGCGGAUUGGCUGCAGUUGGAAACUGUAUCGGGUGGGAGGAAAAUGUCCCAGAAGCAGAGAGAUAUUUUAGGUGACGCCCUGCUUUGUUCUCUCUGGUCCCUACAGCAGAAGUUCUCUGCCCUCUUUGUGUUUUUGUCUAAGGUCUUGUCUAAUGUCUGGUGCACUGGUCUGUCCACGUGUUCAAUCCAUGUGUGUUCGUGUCUAGUCGUCUGAAUGACUGAAUGUUCUGUGUUUUGUGUUGAAAAAUAAAAAAUGGCUAAUAUUUUCUCUGCUGCUAUAGCAAAGCUGAGAGUGGCCACAUGCUUUAGCCAGGAUCAGGCACAGCAGGAGGGCCCCUGCUGGAAAAACUGGUUUUUAAAAAAAGGGAGUCUGCAGCCUCAUGGUAUUGGGACAAAAAAGCUGAUAGAUGGUAUUUUCCUAAGAAAAUUCUCUGCAUUUGUUAUUAUUGCGGUUAUCUAAUGACAAAGUGCUUUUUAUUUUAUAAUUAUAGCUAGAAAAAUUAAUAUUCUCUGA